rnacentral:rRNA from 1 species
AACGAACGCUGGCGGCAUGCCUAACACAUGCAAGUCGAACGAACCCUUCGGGGUUAGUGGCGCACGGGUGCGUAACGCGUGGGGAUCUGCCCUUUGCUUCGGAAUAACAGUUAGAAAUGACUGCUAAUACCGGAUGAUGUCGCAAGACCAAAGAUUUAUCGGCAAAGGAUGAACCCGCGUAGGAUUAGCUAGUUGGUGGGGUAAAGGCCUACCAAGGCGACGAUCCUUAGCUGGUCUGAGAGGAUGAUCAGCCACACUGGGACUGAGACACGGCCCAGCUCCUACGGGAGGCAGCAGUGGGGAAUAUUGGACAAUGGGCGAAAGCCUGAUCCAGCAAUGCCGCGUGAGUGAUGAAGGCCUUCGGGUUGUAAAGCUCUUUUACCAGGGAUGAUAAUGACAGUACCUGGAGAAUAAGCUCCGGCUAACUCCGUGCCAGCAGCCGCGGUAAGAC